GGUUGAUCCUGCCAGUAGUCAUAUGCUUGUCCUAAAGAUUAAGCCAUGCAUGUCCAAGUAUAAACCUUUAUACGGUGAAACUGCGAAUGGCUCAUUAUAUCAGUUAUAAUUUACUUGAUGAAAACUUAUUACAUGGAUAACCGUGGUAAUUCUAGAGCUAAUACAUGCGAGAGGGGUGGCUUUGGUCACUCUGUAUUUAUUAGAUAAAACCAAAGCUGGUAACGGCGUAUGGCGAGUCAUGAUAACUGGGCGGAUCGUAUGGCCUUGAGCUGACGACGCAUCAUUCAAAUUU
rnacentral:rRNA from 1 species